rnacentral:rRNA from 1 species
UUGCAGUUAAAAAGCUCGUAGUUGGAUUUCUGUGAGAGUAUGAUGUCCUAACGUGUUUAGAGCGCAGAAAACUCUUGCAUCCUUCUGUUACCUCCACGUGGCAUUCGCUUGCCAGUGGUUGGCUCAGAGAAUUUACCUUGAGAAAAUUAGAGUGUUUCAGGCAGGCUUAGUCGGAAUACAUUAGCAUGGAAUAAUAGAAUAGGACUCCGGUCUCGUUGUUGGUUUGAGGGACUGUAGUAAUGAUUAAUAGGGAUAGUUGGGGGCAUUAGUAUUCGGUCGUCAGAGGUGAAAUUCUCAGAUUUAUUGAAGACUAACUUAUGCGAAAGCAUUUGCCAAGGAUGUUUUCAUUAAUCAAGAACGAAAGUUAGGGGAUCAAAGACGAUCAGAUACCGUCCUAGUCUUAACCAUAAACUAUGCCGACUCGGGAUUGGGGGCGUGU